CGCGGGAUUAGUGCGAUGGGGUUACCUCGAGUGCUGCCUGAAAAAGGUGGCUUUUACAUAGUGUAACUAGCUACGUGAAUAAGAGGGGGGCAAGACUGGUGUCAGCCGCCGCGGUAACACCAGCCCCUCGAGUGGUGGGGAUGAUUAUUUGGCCUAAAGCGUCCGUAGCCGGCUGUACAAGUCUCCCGUUAAACUCAACGUCUCAAGCGUUGGCCUGCGAGAGAUACUGUAUAGCUAGAGGGUGGGAGAGGUCAGCGGUAUUCCUGGGGUAGGGGCGAAAUCCUUUGAUCCCAGGAGGACCACCAGUGGCGAAGGCUGCUGACUAGAACACGCCUGACGGUCAGGGACGAAAGCUGGGGUAGCGAACCGGAUUAGAUACCCGGGUAGUCCCAGCCGUAAACGAUGCAUGCUAGGUGUUGGGUCGGCCACGCGCCGCCUCAGUGCCGCAGGGGAAGCCAUUAAGCAUGCCGCCUGGGGAGUACGGCCGCAAGGCUGAAACUUAAAGGAAUUGGCGGGGGAGCACCACCAGGCGUGAAGCCUGCGGUUUAAUUGGAGUCAACGCCGGGAAACUUACCGGGAGCGACAGCAGAGUGAAGGCCAGGCUGAAGACCUUGCCAGACGAGCUGAGAGGAGGUGCAUGGCCGUCGCCAGUUCGUGCCGUGAGGUGUCCUCUUAAGUGAGGUAACGAACGAGACCCGUGCCCCAUGUUGCUACCAAAUCCUUUAGGGAUGUUGAGCACUCUUGGGGGACCGCAGCCGAUAAGGCUGAGGAAGGUACGGGCAACGGCAGGUCAGUAUGCCCCGAAUCUCUCGGGCCACACGCGGGCUGCAAUGGUAGGGACAGUGGGCUGCAACCCCGAGAGGGGAAGCCAAUCCCUAAACCCUACCUCAGUUGGGAUUGAGGGCUGCAACCCGCCCUCAUGAACCUGGAAUGCCUAGUAACCGCACGUCAUCAUCGUGCGGUGAAUACGUCCCUGCUCCUUGCACGAAUUCAAUCACUAGU
rnacentral:rRNA from 1 species